rnacentral:rRNA from 1 species
AUUAACGCUAGCGGCAGGCAUAAUACAUGCAAGUUGAACGGCAGCACAGGUAGCAAUACUGGGUGGCGAGUGGCGCACGGGUGCGUAACACGUAUGCAACCUACCCUAUACAGGCGAAUAACCUUUAGAAAUGAGGGCUAAUACGCCGUAGUAUUACAGAUGGGCAUCUAUUUGUAAUUAAAGAUUUAUCGGUAUAGGAUGGGCAUGCGUCCCAUUAGUUAGUUGGUAAGGUAACGGCUUACC